GUAGGUGGCAAGCGUUGUCCGGAAUUAUUGGGCGUAAAGCGCGCGCAGGCGGUUCUUUAAGUCUGAUGUGAAAGCCCACGGGCUCAACCGUGGAGGGUCACUGGAAACUGGAGAACUUGAGUACAGAAGAGGAAAGCGGAAUUCCACGUGUAGCGGUGAAAUGCGUAGAGAUGUGGAGGAACACCAGUGGCGAAGGCGGCUUUCUGGUCUGUAACUGACGCUGAGGCGCGAAAGCGUGGGGAGCAAACAGGAUUAGAUACCCUGGUAGUCCACGCCGUAAACGAUGAGUGCUAAGUGUUAGGGGGUUUCCGCCCCUUAGUGCUGCAGCUAACGCAUUAAGCACUCCGCCUGGGGAGUACGGCCGCAAAGGCUG
rnacentral:rRNA from 1 species